rnacentral:rRNA from 1 species
UGGGGAAUAUUGCACAAUGGGCGCAAGCCUGAUGCAGCAACGCCGCGUGAAGGAUGAAGGGUUUCGGCUCGUAAACUUCUAUCGAUGGGGAAGAAUUUUGACGGUACCCAAAUAAGAAGCCCCGGCUAACUACGUGCCAGCAGCCGCGGUAAUACGUAGGGGGCAAGCGUUAUCCGGAAUUACUGGGUGUAAAGGGUGAGUAGGCGGUUCCACAAGUCAUAUGUGAAAGCUCUGGGCUUAACCCAGGAACUGCAUAAGAAACUGUGGGACUUCGAGUACAGGAGAGGUAAGCGGAAUUCCUAGUGUAGCGGUGAAAUGCGUAGAUAUUAGGAAGAACACCGGUGGCGAAGGCGGCUUACUGGACUGAAACUGACGCUGAGUCACGAAAGCGUGGGGAGCGAACA